rnacentral:lncRNA from 1 species
AAAAAUAACAUUUUGUAGUCAAAUUUUUCCAUAUCUUAACAUACUUUUAUAUUUUAAUUGUUAAAAUUAAUUGAUAUUUUGCACAAAGAAGUGUAAAAGCAUUUUGUAGGCAAAAGAGCAUUUAAGGAAGAAAAAAAAGUCAAACCGCCUUAGUCCCGACCGGUCCAGAAUUCCCGACCGAUCGGGCACGAGAUCAGUGGCAAAAUUUUGGAAGACAACUUCAAAGUCAUUCUCCCACAAGUAACCAAGCUCUGACAACUUUUGAAGAUUAGCAUUUGUCAUGAUGAUGCCCAUGUGGGCAUAAGCCAAGCCAAAAUUAUUGACAAAAUUGGGUUCCCUCAUACCUCC